UUGAAAAAACCUCUCUCCUCUCUAUUAUUGAAAAAAUAUUGCACUGUGAAAUAUAUGAAUCGGAAUGGAGCUGUAGAUAAGUAGAUUUACUACGAUGCGGAGCUGAUGAUUGAUUCUCCGAUUGCGCUGAUGGCACUGAUGAGCAUGAAUUGGCAUGGUAGUGAUGAUUUUGGUGCCAUGACCCUACAGUUUGAUGUCAGAGGAAAUAAUUGCUUUCGCCGCACACUUAUUACUUCCUGAGAGUGGUGGACAGAAGAUGGAACUUUUCGCCAACACAAGAUGUGGACUGUGGAGUGAUUCCAGAUGCCAAAGAGCCAUUUGAGCCGAAUGCAGAUUCUCAAGGCCUUUCUGUUGCUGUUAUACACAAGGUUUCAUUACUCGCAUUCUCCAAUUAACCACAUUGUCUCGUUAGUAUCAUAGUGUAUUCUGAGUUCAGAUGUAAUGAAUUUCUUCAAACAGAUAGGAAAACUAUCUGAGAUCAUUGUCUGUUACAUAUUUAAACCAGUCAAUCUAAGCAUCAUUUUUGAACUUUA